GUCACAAUGGAAUCGUUGCUGGUUGGGGUAUAACGGACACAUUUUUUAGAUCAUCUAUUCUACGGAAAGUAUCUGUUCCAGUGCAGCAUCCCGAAAUUUGUGAUGUUUUGCCGCAGUCCAGCAGAAAACCCGUGGGUUAUGCAACUCUAUUCAGUGAUUCGUACGGACUUUAAGCAAGCAAGCAAGGCUUUAAGAACAUAAGUAUUACCCGAUCACAGAACAUCAUAUGUGCUGGUGACGUAAAGAAGGACUCCUGCAGAGGAGACUCAG